GACGAACGCUGGCGGCGUGCCUAAUACAUGCAAGUUGAGCGCUGAAGGUUGGUACUUGUACCAACUGGAUGAGCAGCGAACGGGUGAGUAACGCGUGGGGAAUCUGCCUUUGAGCGGGGGACAACAUUUGGAAACGAAUGCUAAUACCGCAUAAAAACUUUAAACACAAGUUUUAAGUUUGAAAGAUGCAAUUGCAUCACUCAAAGAUGAUCCCGCGUUGUAUUAGCUAGUUGGUGAGGUAAAGGCCCACCAAGGCGAUGAUACAUAGCCGACCUGAGGGGGUGAUCGGCCACAUUGGGACUGAGACACGGCCCAAACUCCUACGGGAGGCAGCAGUAGGGAAUCUUCGGCAAUGGACGAAAGUCUGACCGAGCAACGCCGCGUGAGUGAAGAAGGUUUUCGGAUCGUAAAACUCUGUUGGUAGAGAAGAACGUUGGUGAGAGUGGAAAGCUCAUCAAGUGACGGUAACUACCCAGAAAGGGACGGCUAACUACGUG
rnacentral:rRNA from 1 species